rnacentral:rRNA from 1 species
UCCGUAGGCGGGCAAUUAAGUCAGAGGUGAAAUCCCACAGCUCAACUGUGGAACUGCCUUUGAUACUGGUUGCCUUGAGUUACAGUGAAGUAGAUAGAAUAUGUAGUGUAGCGGUGAAAUGCAUAGAUAUUACAUAGAAUACCGAUUGCGAAGGCAGUCUACUAACUGUAUACUGACGCUAAUGGACGAAAGCGUGGGGAGCGAACAGGAUUAGAUACCCUGGUAGUC